rnacentral:rRNA from 1 species
AGAGUUUGAUCCUGGCUCAGGAUGAACGCUAGCUACAGGCUUAACACAUGCAAGUCGAGGGGCAGCAUGUUGGUUGCUUGCAACCAAUGAUGGCGACCGGCGCACGGGUGAGUAACGCGUAUCCAACCUACCCUUGUCCAUCGGAUAACCCGUCGAAAGGCGGCCUAACACGAUAUGCGGUUCUCAGCAGGCAUCUAACGAGAACGAAAUGUGAAGGAGAAGGAUGGGGAUGCGUCUGAUUAGCUUGUUGGCGGGGUAACGGCCCACCAAGGCGACGAUCAGUAGGGGUUCUGAGAGGAAGGUCCCCCANAUUGGAACUGAGACACGGUCAAACUCCUACGGGAGCA